GCCUGGCUGGUUCAGUUGGUAGAGCAUGAGACUCUUGAUCUCAGAGCUGUGAGUUCAAGCCCCAUGUUGGGUG
rnacentral:tRNA from 1 species